CACUACCUUCCCCGGUGCACUGGGGAAAGAACAAUCCAAGCACUAUAACCAGUACAGCCUGUUAUUGUUAUUUAUAAAGCGCUAAUAAAUUCUGCAGGGACGUGCCCUGACACUGUCCCAUUUUGAGUAGUCAAACUGUUUGACAACUUACCUGGUUCCCACUGGGCAAAAAUAGCUCUACAAAGCCAUGUAGGGACAGGCAUGACUGAGCUCAUUGGCUCAGGUGCAACCAGACUGACUGUGGGACCUAGUUUAGUUGUCAACCCAUUCUAAAAUGGUUUUCCUACCUACUAAGAGAUUAUGCUAGGACGUUCCUGUUCCCAUGACUGUUACAGCGGGCUAUAGUGGCUAUAGUUCUUAGUGUGGUCAUUUUAAUGCUGCGAAAAUCUAAUUAGGGUGUUUUGCAGAAUCGCUUGUGUUAUUUAUUAUGUUGCCAAACUAAGGCUAUGCAUGUUCAUUUUGCCUGUGUCGAAGAGGUUGAAUCAAUGGUUUGGAUAUGUAAAAACAUAUAAAAUGGCAAUCUGUGAUGGUAUACAAUGUGCAUAAUAACAAACAUUACAAACACCUCUAAUGUACACAAAAACCUCAAUGAUGGAGUGUGCAAAGAAACAUAAAUGACCUAAUAUUAAUAUUGG